rnacentral:tRNA from 1 species
UUAAUUGAAGCCAAAAUAGAGGCCUUCCAUUGUUAAUGGGAAUAUUGACUUUAAUGUCCAAUUAAA